AGGCCACAAAAUCCAUUACACAGACUAGUUUUCUUCGACUCAUCAGUUAUUUUGUUUUCUGCAGCAAUCACAAGAAUAUCUAAGUUCCUCAUACUACAUUCUUCCCCUGCUGAUUCACAAAUCUAUUAUAAUCAGAAAGCAUGUGAAAAACUGAGAAAUGGGAGAAAACAAUCACUGACUGCCAUUUGGUAAUAGGAGUAAUUAUUAGGAGUCAAUUCGAGCAUUGCUUUUAAUCUUUUGAGUUGCUUUGCUGGUUGUCAUUCUCUAUAACUACUAAAAAGUCCAACUAGAAUUUGUUUUCUUGCUCACACAGGCAAAGAUGAUGUUUGGAGUUCAGUGGUCAAGAAAACCCCGAUGACUGCACUUCUGUGAAUUUUGAAGUCUUCAUCAGUAUAUCCAUGUAAAAAGGAGAUGACAAAAACCAAAAUAAAAUAAUUAUGGGCUGACAGGACAACUGGAUUAAAAUAAGCAUCAGUUUCAGUAAAAAGGGCUAACUUGAAGACAAAUCUUUUGAAGAUAAAUUUUGACACCAGUUCUUUAGAGGAUCUAAAGUGACCUUGAUGGAGAAUGAAAGAAAUCACAAGAUGGAAUUCCUCGAAUAAAAAUUUAUUGACUUUAAAUAAUUUUGCCUAAUGUUACAUACACACAAUUAAAAAAAAAACACCUCUUUAUGCUGUUAAGAAAGAAAGAAAGAAAGAAAGAAAAGAAAAGAAAGAAAGAAAGAAAGAAAGAAAGAAAGAAAGAAAGAAAGAAAGAAAGAAAGAAAGGAAACCCUGAUGAAGCCACACCUGUUUGGGGUACAAGAGGACACACGUGUUCCAUGUCAUGAGGGUCGAAGCAAGAGUCUGCCUCACAUGAACACAGAUAUUUUCCUUUAAGCUAGAAGAUGAUCUUUAUUUUCAUUUUUUAAGAUUCUCAAGGAACUUGGCCUAGAUAAGGGGUGACUCAACUCUAGAGAAUUUCUGAGUGGCUGGUGGACUGAUGGGAUGAUAUUUUGGGUCUGGAACAGUUUUCAAUGCCUGGAUCAUGCAUUUAUAAGGCUGGACAGGAAUUUAAGGGGCCACCUUGGGAAAAAGAACUGAACGUGUGCUGAGCAGCUACCAUGAGCUGGGGCUCUUUCACCUGCUCUCUGGGUGAACUCCCAGCCCUCAAGUCUUUGGACUUGGACAAUCUGUAGCUGGAAAGAAACACAACCACAGUCCAACCCAUUCUUCAGUUAUAUUCAAGAGGCCAAGCAAGGUGAAAUCAUUUACCCACGUUUCUAUACCUUCUUUGCUGGUGCUAAGUGGGGAUGGAGAGUGAAACCAAAAACUAAAGCCAUGAUAAGAACAAUAAAGACAAACUGUUCCUCUGAAAGAACAAACGUUUUUGUAAUCGCAGACACAUUUCUUUAGCUGCUGUAUAAGCCAAAUACUGUUUUUCCUCUCAAUAGACAUUUGACAGUUGUUCUUACAUAGAUGUCCAUGCAUGUUGUUUCGUCAAAUAUCCACAUAGAAUCUGCCACAGCGCUGUGUUCCCACACCCCAACACACACAGUCCAGUGUGUUUGGUAUUAGAAUUCUUCGAACUGUGGGCUAAGGACAUUGUUUGGAAUGAUUUGGAUUCCAAUCGGUGUUCUGCCCACUGGACGAGACUGCUCUGAGACAGUGUGGGAGGUGAGCCCAAUAUCAGACAGUGAGAAAGCCACUCACGUCUGGCCUCUGCUUGGUGAGCUAGAGGAAGCUGCGUAAGUGAGUGGGAAGAAAUAAUGAAUUGCUUGCAGGAAAGUAUGUGAGAAUCCACUGAACAAGAGGCGGUGCUAAUCAACACAGGGACUCUGACACUGUUUUAAAACAGAUGCUUCCAGACUCCGAGAGGAAGGAGGGAGGACAGAAUGUCUUAAAUUUCUUUCGAGCCCUUCUGUUUUCUAAACAAUGAAAUAAAAUAAAAAAAAAAAAGAAUGUGGGUAAAAUAGCUUCCACCCACAUGAUACCAUAGACAUAGCAAUACUAUAUUUCCUAGUGUUAUUUUGGAUUAAUA
rnacentral:lncRNA from 10 species